rnacentral:rRNA from 1 species
UCGAGUCGGCCUGCGCGGAAGAUGUAACGGGGCUAAACCAUGCACCGAAGCUGCGGCAGCGACGUUUAGGCGUUGUUGGGUAGGGGAGCGUUCUGUAAGCCGUUGAAGGUGACCUGUGAGGGUUGCUGGAGGUAUCAGAAGUGCGAAUGCUGACAUAAGUAACGAUAAUGCGGGUGAAAAACCCGCACGCCGGAAGACCAAGGGUUCCUGUCCAACGUUAAUCGGGGCAGGGUGAGUCGACCCCUAAGGCGAGGCUGAAAAGCGUAGUCGAUGGGAAACAGGUUAAUAUUCCUGUACUUGGUGUUACUGCGAAGGGGGGACGGAGAAGGCUAGGCUGGCCGGGCGACGGUUGUCCCGGUUUAAGCGUGUAGGGGGAGUGACCAGGUAAAUCCGGUUGCUUAUCAACCCUGAGGCGUGAUGACGAUGCACCACGGUGCAGAAGCAGUUGAUGCCAUGCUUCCAGGAAAAGCCUCUAAGCAUCAGGUAACAUUAAAUCGUACCCCAAACCGACACAGGUGGUCAGGUAGAGAAUACUCAGGCGCUUGAGAGAACUCGGGUGAAGGAACUAGGCAAAAUGGUGCCGUAACUUCGGGAGAAGGCACGCUGGCGUUAGGUGAAAGGACUAGCUCCUGGAGCUGAAGCCAGUCGCAGAUACCAGCUGGCUGCAACUGUUUAAUAAAAACACAGCACUGUGCAAACACGAAAGUGGACGUAUACGGUGUGACGCCUGCCCGGUGCUGGAAGGUUAAUUGAUGGGGUCAGCCGCAAGGCGAAGCUCUUGAUCGAAGCCCCAGUAAACGGCGGCCGUAACUAUAACGGUCCUAAGGUAGCGAAAUUCCUUGUCGGGUAAGUUCCGACCUGCACGAAUGGCGUAAUGAUGGCCAGGCUGUCUCCACCCGAGACUCAGUGAAAUUGAACUCGCUGUGAAGAUGCAGUGUACCCGCGGCAAGACGGAAAGACCCCGUGAACCUUUACUAUAGCUUGACACUGAACAUUGAGCCUUGAUGUGUAGGAUAGGUGGGAGGCCUUGAAGUGUGGACGCCAGUCUGCAUGGAGCCAACCUUGAAAUACCACCCUUUAAUGUUUGAUGUUCUAACUCGGCCCCAUGAUCUGGGGUGAGGACAGUGUCUGGUGGGUAGUUUGACUGGGGCGGUCUCCUCCCAAAGAGUAACGGAGGAGCACGAAGGUUAGCUAAUCACGGUCGGACAUCGUGAGGUUAGUGCAAAGGCAUAAGCUAGCUUGACUGCGAGAGUGACGGCUCGAGCAGGUACGAAAGUAGGUCUUAGUGAUCCGGUGGUUCUGAAUGGAAGGGCCAUCGCUCAACGGAUAAAAGGUACUCCGGGGAUAACAGGCUGAUACCGCCCAAGAGUUCAUAUCGACGGCGGUGUUUGGCACCUCGAUGUCGGCUCAUCACAUCCUGGGGCUGAAGUAGGUCCCAAGGGUAUGGCUGUUCGCCAUUUAAAGUGGUACGCGAGCUGGGUUUAGAACGUCGUGAGACAGUUCGGUCCCUAUCUGCCGUGGGCGUUGGAAGAUUGAGAGGGGCUGCUCCUAGUACGAGAGGACCGGAGUGGACGAAUCACUGGUGUUCGGGUUGUCAUGCCAAUGGCAUUGCCCGGUAGCUAAAUUCGGAAGAGAUAACCGCUGAAAGCAUCUAAGCGGGAAACUUGCCUCGAGAUGAGUCUUCCCUGGGGCUUAAAGCCCCCUGAAGGAACGUUAAAGACUAUGACGUUGAUAGGCUGGGUGUGUAAGUGCAGCGAUGUAUUGAGCUAACCAGUACUAAUGAUCCGUGAGGCUUAACCUUACAACACCGAAGGUGUUU